CAGCCGCCACGGGAAUACGAAGGGGGCUAGCGUUGUUCGGAUUUACUGGGCGUAAAGGGCGCGUAGGCGGACUGAUAAGUCAGGGGUGAAAUCCCAAGGCUCAACCUUGGAACUGCCUUUGAUACUGUUUGUCUUGAGUUCGAGAGAGGUAAGUGGAACUGCGAGUGUAGAGGUGAAAUUCGUAGAUAUUCGCAAGAACACCAGUGGCGAAGGCGGCUUACUGGCUCGAAACUGACGCUGAGGCGCGAAAGCGUGGGGAGCAAACAGGAUUAGAUACCCCAGUAGUCCCUGUCUCUUAUAC
rnacentral:rRNA from 1 species